AUUGAACGCUGGCGGCAUGCCUUACACAUGCAAGUCGAACGGCAGCACGGGUGCUUGCACCUGGUGGCGAGUGGCGAACGGGUGAGUAAUACAUCGGAACAUGUCCUGUAGUGGGGGAUAGCCCGGCGAAAGCCGGAUUAAUACCGCAUACGAUCCACGGAUGAAGGCGGGGGACCUUCGGGCCUCGCGCUAUAGGGUUGGCCGAUGGCUGAUUAGCUAGUUGGUGGGGUAAAGGCCUACCAAGGCGACGAUCAGUAGCUGGUCUGAGAGGACGACCAGCCACACUGGGACUGAGACACGGCCCAGACUCCUACGGGAGGCAGCAGUGGGGAAUUUUGGACAAUGGGCGAAAGCCUGAUCCAGCAAUGCCGCGUGUGUGAAGAAGGCCUUCGGGUUGUAAAGCACUUUUGUCCGGAAAGAAAUCCUUGACUCUAAUACAGUCUGGGGAUGACGGUACCGGAAGAAUAAGCACCGGCUAACUACGUG
rnacentral:rRNA from 1 species